CCUACGGGAGGCAGCAGUAGGGAAUAUUGCUCAAUGGGGGAAACCCUGAAGCAGCAACGCAGCGUGGAGGAUGAAGGUUUUCGGAGUGUAAACUCCUUUUGUUAGAGAAGAUAAUGACGGUAUCUAACGAAUAAGCACCGGCUAACUCCGUGCCAGCAGCCGCGGUAAUACGGAGGGUGCAAGCGUUACUCGGAAUCACUGGGCGUAAAGAGCGCGUAGACGGGAUAGCAAGUCAGAUGUGAAAUCCUAUGGCUUAACCAUAGAACUGCAUUUGAAACUGUCAUUCUAGAGUAUGGGAGAGGUAGGUGGAAUUCUUGGUGUAGGGGUAAAAUCCGUAGAGAUCAAGAGGAAUACUCAUUGCGAAGGCGACCUGCUAGAACAUCACUGACGCUGAUGCGCGAAAGCGUGGGGAGCAAACAGGAUUAGAUACCCGUGUAGUC
rnacentral:rRNA from 1 species